rnacentral:rRNA from 1 species
UCUAAGUUUGAUGGCGACCGGCGCACGGGUGAGUAACACGUAUCCAACCUGCCGAUGACUCGGGGAUAGCCUUUCGAAAGAAAGAUAAAUACCCGAUGGCAUAGUUCUUCCGCAUGGUAGAACUAUUAAAGAAUUUCGGUCAUCGAUGGGGAUGCGUUCCAUUAGGUUGUUGGCGGGGUAACGGCCCACCAAGCCUUCGAUGGAUAGGGGUUCUGAGAGGAAGGUCCCCCACAUUGGAACUGAGACACGGUCCAAACUCCUACGGGAGGCAGCAUG